rnacentral:tRNA from 2 species
GGCGGCGUAGCCAAGUGGCUAAGGCAGGGGACUGCAAAUCCCUUAUUCGGCGGUUCGAAUCCGCCCGCCGCCUCCA